rfam:Dipodomys ordii contig_20506, whole genome shotgun sequence.
GCCGGGCGCGGUGGCGCGCGCCUGUAAUCCGAGCUACUCGGAAGGCUGAGCCCGGAGGAUCGCUUGAGUCCAGGAGUUCUGGGCUGCAGUGCGCUAUGCCGAUCGGGUGUCCGCACUAAGUUCAGCAUCAAUAUGGUGACCUCCCGGGAGCGGGGGAACACCAGGUUGCCUAAGGAGGGCUGAACCGGCCCAGUUCGGAAACGGAGCAGGUCAAAAUCAAACAGCUGAAAAGAACUUCUGAUCCUUAGGGUUACAAGACAAAUUGACCUUCUGCUAAAUAUACUGGGAAUCUU